rnacentral:rRNA from 1 species
ACUGCGAAUGGCUCAUUAAAUCAGUUAUCGUUUAUUUGAUAGUACCUUUACCUGGAUAACCGUGGUAAUUCUAGAGCUAAUACAUGCUAAAAACCCCGACUUCGGAAGGGGUGUAUUUAUUAGAUAAAAAACCAAUGCCCUCUGGGCUCCUUGGUGAUUCAUAAUAACUUAACGAAUCGCAUGGCCUUGCGCCGGCGAUGGUUCAUUCAAAUUUCUGCCCUAUCAAUUUUCGAUGGUAGAGUAGUGGUCUACCAUGAUCUUAACGGGUAACGGGGAAUUAGGGUUCUAUUCCGGAGAAGGAGCCUGAGAAACGGCUACUACAUCCAAGGAAGGCAGCAGGCGCGCAAAUUACCCAAUGCUAAUUCAGCGAGGUAGUGACAAUAAAUACUGAUACGGGGCUCUUUCGGGUCUCGUAAUUGGAAUGAGUACAAUCUAAAUCCCUUAACGAGGAACAAUUGGAGGGCAAGUCUGGUGAACUCAGGUUCUGCCGACUGGACCGUACCUAGAGGGACGUCUCACAGCGUCGCGAUAGGGGCGGUCGGUCGAAAGUUGCUGCGCCAGAAACAGGUCUCUCCCUUCUUUAGAAGGGCCGGGCCUAGUCGCGUCCGUCACUCUCGUUGAGAGGUCUACCUGGGGGGGUAGUUUAGAUGGGCCGGCCACACAACCUGGUACGGGGAAGCCCGACGGUCAUUCCGCAAGGAGUGGGCAGGGUGAUCCCGUGGCGAGGUGCCUUCCGAGGCGCCCGUCGUAGAGCACGGAUAAGGUGUGGGUUACACAGAACCAUGUGUAGCUUAAGGGACGUGCCGAAUCCACUGGAAACGGUGGCCGUACAAGGUCGAGGAGUGCAAGUGUGCGACUCCUCACCGCUAUACCCGAGUGCCUCCAGCAUGAAGGGUUACGGGCUGAAAGACAAAAAGUGCCUCUUAAGUGAGCGUAUCAACCGAUAAACCGCCAGUCCUUGGUGGGCUUUCAGUAAGGAGGGUUCAGAAGACGUAGUCUGAAUGAAUGCCCCGAAUUGGCCAGCAGCCGCGGUAAUUCCAGCUCCAAUAGCGUAUAUUAAAGUUGUUGCCGUUAAAAAGCUCGUAGUUGAACCUUGGACCUGGCUGAUCUGUCCUCCUAAUCGAGCGCACGGAUUCGGUCGGGUCUUUCCUUCUGGGGAGCCCUAUGCCCUUCACUGGGUGUAGUGGGGAACCAGGACUUUUACCUUGAAAAAAUUAGAGUGUUCAAAGCAGGCCUUUGCUCGAAUACAUUAGCAUGGAAUAAUAGAAUAGGACAUCGGUUCUAUUUUGUUGGUUUCUAGGACCGCUGUAAUGAUUAAUAGGGAUAGUCGGGGGCGUCAGUAUUCAAUUGUCAGAGGUGAAAUUCUUGGAUUUAUUGAAGACUAACUACUGCGAAAGCAUUCGCCAAGGAUGUUUUCAUUAAUCAGUGAACGAAAGUUAGGGGAUCGAAGACGAUCAGAUACCGUCGUAGUCUUAACCAUAAACUAUGCCGACUAGGGAUCGGACGGUGGUUUUUUUAUGCCCCGUUCGGCACCUUACGAGAAAUCAAAGUUU